GUUAUAUUUCUUGAUAAUCGAGUGUUUGAUCUGACCUAGGAAAAAGUAAGAAAAAAAAACUCUUUAGUAGAGCUGGUUCUAUAACAAAGUUGUGUUUGGGAGCUUGAUUUGGUGAUUAAUAAAGUUGUAGAAGCUUUGGAUAGUUGGUGGGGUGGGUUAUUAGAUUUCUUCACUUUCUUCAUUUGUUGAGACAGCUACAAGAUCAAGGAUCUGCUGAUUUUGGGUAUUUCAUCAAAAUCUGAAAUUGAUAUCUCGAAAGGAAGGUUGAUGUAGUUAUCAAGGUCUUUGGUGAAGUUUGUUCCUGACAAAGUUUGAUCCUUAAAGUUGAUAUUUGUUGAUCUUAUGAUUAUUCAAUCGUCACAUCAAAGCUUCCAACAUUUUGCUAUGUCUAGAUUACGAAGCUCGGAUUUCAGAUUUUGGACUACCUAAGUGGUUCCCAGAGAAUUCGCCUCAUCACAUUGUUUUCCCUAUCGAAGGCACAUUCGGGUCAGACGUUGAAUUCCACAACUACAAUAUCUUUAUGUGAACCUUUCUUCUCGAUGUUUUUUAGUCCAAAACCUGGUUAGUUCUUUGUUUUUUCUUACAGGUUCCAGCUCCAAAGUACUUUAUGCACGUGAUUGUAGAUGAGAAGCCAGAUGUGUUUGCGUUUGGUGUAUUGUUUAUGGAGAUCAUCUUAUACCGAAACAAUGAAUUCUCUACCACGAUGAAGGAAUCUUAUUCCAUGGUGGUGGAAAUACUUCAGUGAGCUUAAAAUUCUUCCACGCGUCUGGGAAUUUAGAAAUAAGACAAAAUAUUUUGCAUGAAGUGAGGAAAGAUAUGAAGUCGAGAGAAGAAGAUUCUCCAACCUUAAUUACCAUGUAUGACACCUAGCAUGUCUUCGGGAAGAGCUAAGAAGGAGUUAUUCAAGUAUUUAUGGAGCCAAGAAGGUUUUAAGAGUUUUUGAGCUUUAAAGACCAAAAGGCGAUCAAAACCCGUUUCAAGACAGUUUCUGUACGUCAGAAGUAUGGAAUCCGUUCGAGGUCUUCCCGGUUACUAAAUCAAGAGAUCUCGGUGGCUAUAGAAAGCUAGAAGAGUCAAGAUUCGCUUCAAAGUGGAAUCAGAGCUUUGCAACAAGUCGUUAGGAAGUUAUGACCAGAAGAGUGAAGACAUGUCCAGACCGGCCAGAAGCUAUGCAACCGAUCUGGAGCUUCUGGGCCACACAUAGGCCACAUGGGCCUAGCCCGUGCUGCGUCUCACUCUCCAGACCGGUCACUAAGACUUCUCCCUUGCAAGAAACUCGAGUUUGCACUUAAACCUAAUCACGGUAACGACGCUUUUACCCCUAGACCUAAUCCUUGGUCUCCAAACCCUAUAAAUACAUGAUGGAAGCCCUAACCCUAUUGUGCCUUCAAAGUGCCUCCACCGUGCCAAUCAAGUCUUCUCUGCCCUCGCCGUGAGCUGCAGCCAUCGCACCUUGAAGCUUUGAAGAAUCACCGAAUCUAUCUCUCUCUUUUCUCUUGUUUACUCUAAGAUCUAUUAAGGUGAAGUCUUACCUCUUGUAUUCUAUAUUCAAAGAAGUAAUCUCUAAACCCUAUUCAGUU